GAUUAAAUCGAGAGUGUCUUCAUCGACCUCUCACCCUUCACAUCCACAUACACCUGUGCACCGUUUGGCUCUUUUAAAAGACGCAAGUCUGCAAAGAGGGUCAUCAAUUUUAUACAUACCCCAGUCUUAUGAAUGUAACAGUUUUAAUAAACAUAAUAAAACUUUUAACAGCGGAUCUCUUGGUUCU
rnacentral:misc_RNA from 1 species